AGAGAGAGAAAGAGAGACGAUAAAGAACAAAUUUAUCUAAUUCAAAGAAGAUUUAUACGACCUGUGUGCGAAUACGGUCGAACAGUCGACUCGAUUUAAUUCGGUAGCAUGGAACAACAAGAGGAAGAAAGAAAAAGAAAAAAGAAUAGAGAGAGAGAGAGAGAGAGAGAGAGAGAGAGAGAGAGGGAGAAACAACUCGUUCAAUUUGAUUUCGAUAUCAUGAUAAGGUCUACUUCCAUUCGAUAUAAUGAAAAAUCGAAAUAUAAAACAUAAAAUAAAAUAAAAUAAAAUAAA